GAUGAACGCUAGCGGCAGGCCUAAUACAUGCAAGUCGGACGGGAUCCAUUGAUAGCUUGCUAUCAAUGGUGAGAGUGGCGCACGGGUGCGUAACGCGUGAGCAACCUGCCUCCAUCAGGGGGAUAGCCUCUCGAAAGAGAGAUUAACACCGCAUAAUAUCAACAGUUCGCAUGUUCAGUUGAUUAAAUAUUUAUAGGAUGGAGAUGGGCUCGCGUGACAUUAGCUAGUUGGUAGGGUAACGGCUUACCAAGGCGACGAUGUCUAGGGGCUCUGAGAGGAGAAUCCCCCAGACUGGUACUGAGACACGGACCAGACUGCUACGGGAGGCAGCAGUAAGGAAUAUUGGUCAAUGGGCGGAAGCCUGAACCAGCCAUGCCGCGUGCAGGAUGACUGCCCUAGGGGUUGUAAACUGCUUUUGUCCAGGAAUAAACCUAAAUUCGAGUAUUUAGCUGAAUGUACUGGAAGAAUAAGGAUCGGCUAACUCCGUG
rnacentral:rRNA from 1 species